rnacentral:rRNA from 1 species
CCUACGGGUGGCAGCAGUGGGGGAUAUUGCACAAUGGGGGGAACCCUGAUGCAGCGACGUCGCGUGGGUGAAGGAGUGCUUCGGCAUGUAAAGCCCUAUUGGCAGGGAAGAAGCAUGACGGUACCUGACUAAGUAGCCCCGGCUAACUACGUGCCAGCAGCCGCGGUCAUACGUAGGGGGCGAGCGUUAUCCGGGUUCACUGGGUGUAAAGGGAGCGUAGACGGCCAAGCAAGCCAGGGGUGAAAGCCCGGGGCCCAACCCCGGGACUGCCCUUGAGACUGGAAGGCUGGAGUGCGGGAGGGGCAGGCGGAAUUCCUGGUGUAGCGGUGAAAUGCGUAGAUAUCAGGAGGAACACCGACGGCGAAGGCAGCCUGCUAAACCGCGACUGACGUUGAGGCUCGAAAGCGUGGGGAGCGAACAGGAUUAGAUACCCUAGUAGUC